AGUUUCCUGAAGGAACGUUGAAGACGACGACGUUGAUAGGCCGGGUGUGUAAGCGCAGCGAUGCGUUGAGCUAACCGGUACUAAUGAACCGUGAGGCUUAACCUUACAACGCCGAAG
rnacentral:rRNA from 2 species